rnacentral:lncRNA from 10 species
AUCAUUUCCUCCCGGCGCGGAUCCAGGGAGCCGGGAGGGGAGAGAGGAGGCGGCGGGGCGGGGCCGUCCCCGCGCCCCCUGCAGGCGCCCGGCCGAGGGCGAGCCCGCCGAGCCCCGCCGAGCCUGACCGCGCCGCCCCCGGCGCGCCUGGCGCUGUCUGGCCGGUCGCUUGGCCCGGGUGGAAGCUAUGAGCGCGCCGCCAGCGGGGCUCCUCGGAGGCGGCGGGGCAGGCCCGAGCUGGGCUCCUGUGGCCGGGGUGGGAGGAGAAGAGGCCGCGCGGCACGGGUUCAUUCAUGCAGAGGGCAUUUAUUGGGUGACUGCAGUACUGCAAAAGGUUGCAAAGGAAAUGGAAGAUCUGGUCCCUGCAGGUUGGGAGUUUACAAUCUAAUUAGAAAUACAAGGCAUAUAUACGUGAAAAAACUAGAAUCCCCAGCUGUAAGCAAAAGGAUGGAGUAGGUGGGAGCAUUUUUUUCAUAAAGAGAGCUUUGUACCUGUAUGAUUGGUGAGGAGCAGGAGAGGCAAGUUCAGUACCAAUCAAGGCAAGAGCACCUAUAUGUAUCCCUGCUCUAUAGAAUGAUGUAACAGGGCCCUCAUUGUCACUUGGCUGAAGUGUCAGCUCUGCCACUUACAAACUGUUUUGAACUGGGGCACAUUUUUAACCUAAGAAGGGAAUACAGGUUGUCUCGUGAGGUGGUUGUGCAGUUCAAAUGAGAUUACAAACGUGAAAGCUUGUGAAGCUCAAUGAUGUACAUUCAUGGAGUCCUCAUUGUACAAACUGGCCCUUCUUGGUAACCUUUAGAGUUCCCUCCCAGGCUGUAAGCUGCAAGAGGGCAGGGACCAGGUCUGAUUGUAUUCAUCAUGUAUCACAAUGUUUAGCAGAAGGGUUCAUGUGGGUGUUCAAUAAAGUUUUGCUGAGUAGGUAAAUAAAUGAAUUAAUGAAUCCUGUUAUGCUCUGAACAGUUCCUAUUAUUUGUUCCUUAAGCAGUUCCUUCAAUAGUGGUCUUAUUGUAUGGCUGGCUCAGUGAAAAACACUCUAACUCAACCUCCUGUGACUUACUAGUGUGCCAGGAGACUGGGAGAAUUCUGGAUGGUACUGUCAGAGGCAUUCAAACCAGAGAAACUCCAUUUUGAAUGAGGGCUAGGAAAAUGAGACUGAGACUGGCUGGGCUGCAUUCUCGGGAAGUUAGGCUUUCUUAGCCUCUAGAUGUUUACAGCUAAGGGAACAAAUUAAUAGUGUUUACUAAACAAACCCAGACUUGGGAGUGUCCAGAUAUCCCGAUAUCUGGAGAACAAAGGCAUUCCUAAUUUUGCUUUAAAGAUAAUAUUGAUUCUUGCAAAAUAUAGUAAUUUAUUUAUUUAUCACAAACUCUUGUAGCAGAGCACAUCUCCCUAUAUAUACGAGCGAUGUACCUAGCAUGGAAUCGUUCCUCCUCUUACUUUCGGCAACAUCCUACUUUGUCUAUGGAGUAGGUGUCCUUUCACCACUUUGCUUUCUUAAUAAACUGGC